UACGUAGGGGGCGAGCGUUGUCCGGAAUUACUGGGCGUAAAGGGUGCGCAGGUGGCGAUUUAAGUUGGAUGUGAAAUCCCCGGGCUUAACCUGGGUGGUGCAUUCAAAACUGGAUGGCUAGAGUGCAGGAGAGGGAAGCGGAAUUCCGAGUGUAGAGGUGAAAUUCGUAGAUAUUCGGAGGAACACCAGUGGCGAAGGCGGCUCACUGGCUCGAUACUGACGCUGAGGUGCGAAAGUGUGGGGAGCAGACAGGAUUAGAUACCCCCGUAGUCCCU
rnacentral:rRNA from 1 species